GAUGAACGCUAGCGGAAGGCUUAAUACAUGCAAGUCGAGCGGUAGGUGGCUUCGGCCAUUGAGAGCGGCGCACGGGUGAGUAACGCGUACAUGACCUGCCUGUCAGAAGGGGAUAGCCCUGGGAAACUGGGAUUAAUACCCUAUGGUAUUGAUAUUAUGAAUGAUAUCAAUUAAAGUUGAGGCGCUGACAGAUGGAUGUGCGUCUGAUUAGCUAGUUGGUAGGGUAACGGCCUACCAAGGCGACGAUCAGUAGGGGGCGUGAGAGCGUGGUCCCCCACACGGGUACUGAGACACGGACCCGACUCCUACGGGAGGCAGCAGUAAGGAAUAUUGGUCAAUGCCUGCAAGGGUGAACCAGCCAUUCCGCGUGGAGGAUGAAGGCCCUAUGGGUUGUAAACUUCUUUUAGAUGGGAAGAAAUGCUAGAUGUAUCUGGUACUGACGGUACCAUCAGAAUAAGCACCGGCUAACUCCGUGCCAGCAGCCG
rnacentral:rRNA from 1 species